GCAAGUCGAACGCUUCUUUUUCCACCGGAGCUUGCUCCACCGGAAAAAGAGGAGUGGCGAACGGGUGAGUAACACGUGGGUAACCUGCCCAUCAGAAGGGGAUAACACUUGGAAACAGGUGCUAAUACCGUAUAACAAUCGAAACCGCAUGGUUUNGAUUUGAAAGGCGCUUUCGGGUGUCGCUGAUGGAUGGACCCGCGGUGCAUUAGCUAGUUGGUGAGGUAACGGCUCACCAAGGCGACGAUGCAUAGCCGACCUGAGAGGGUGAUCGGCCACAUUGGGACUGAGACACGGCCCAAACUCCUACGGGAGGCAGCAGUAGGGAAUCUUCGGCAAUGGACGAAAGUCUGACCGAGCAACGCCGCGUGAGUGAAGAAGGUUUUCGGAUCGUAAAACUCUGUUGUUAGAGAAGAACAAGGAUGAGAGUAACUGUUCAUCCCUUGACGGUAUCUAACCAGAAAGCCACGGCUAACUACGUGCCAGC
rnacentral:rRNA from 1 species